rnacentral:rRNA from 1 species
UACGUAGGUGGCAAGCGUUGUCCGGAUUUACUGGGCGUAAAGAGCGCGCAGGCGGUCGGAUCAGUCGAAUGUGAAAGCCCCCGGCUCAACUGGGGAGGGUCAUUCGAUACUGUCCGACUCGAAGGCAGGAGAGGGAAGCGGAAUUCCCGGUGUAGUGGUGAAAUGCGUAGAUAUCGGGAGGAACACCAGUGGCGAAGGCGGCUCUCUGGGCCCUACCUGACGCUGAGACGCGAAAGCGUGGGGAGCGAACCGG